GACGGAGGGUGCUAGCGUUGUUCGGAAUCACUGGGUGUAAAGGGUGCGUAGGCGGGGCUUUAAGUCAGGGGUGAAAUCCUGGAGCUCAACUCCAGAACUGCCUUCGAUACUGGAAAGCUCGAGUCCGGGAGAGGUGAGUGGAACUGCGAGUGUAGAGGUGAAAUUCGUAGAUAUUCGCAAGAACACCAGUGGCGAAGGUGGCUCACUGGCCCGGUACUGACGCUGAGGUGCGAAAGCGUGGGGAGCAAACAGG
rnacentral:rRNA from 1 species